rnacentral:rRNA from 1 species
UGUCUAUAAUGCAGUCGACGCUUCUUUUCCCACCGGAGCUUGCUCCACCGGGAAAAGAGGAGUGGCGAACGGGUGAGUAACACGUGGGUAACCUGCCCAUCAGAAGGGGAUAACACUUGGAAACAGGUGCUAAUACCGUAUAACAAUCGAAACCGCAUGGUUUCGUUUUGAAAGGCGCUUUACGGUGCCGCUGAUGGAUGGACCCGCGGUGCAUUAGCUAGUUGGUGAGGUAACGGCUCACCAAGGCCACGAUGCAUAGCCGACCUGAGAGGGUGAUCGGCCACAUUGGGACUGAGACACGGCCCAAACUCCUACGGGAGGCAGCAGUAGGGAAUCUUCGGCAAUGGACGAAAGUCUGACCGAGCAACGCCGCGUGAGUGAAGAAGGUUUUCGGAUCGUAAAACUCUGUUGUUAGAGAAGAACAAGGGUGAGAGUAACUGUUCACCCCUUGACGGUAUCUAACCAGAAAGCCACGGCUAACUACGUGCCAGCAGCCGCGGUAAUACGUAGGUGGCAAGCGUUGUCCGGAUUUAUUGGGCGUAAAGCGAGCGCAGGCGGUUUCUUAAGUCUGAUGUGAAAGCCCCCGGCUCAACCGGGGAGGGUCAUUGGAAACUGGGAGACUUGAGUGCAGAAGAGGAGAGUGGAAUUCCAUGUGUAGCGGUGAAAUGCGUAGAUAUAUGGAGGAACACCAGUGGCGAAGGCGGCUCUCUGGUCUGUAACUGACGCUGAGGCU